rnacentral:rRNA from 1 species
CAAUAGCGUAUGCUUAAUUUGUUGCAGUUGAAAGCUCGUAGUUGGAUUUCUGUUGAAAGCUGCCGAUCCGCUCUAUGAGUGAGUAUUGGUGAGUUUUCAGCAUACUUCUGGGGAACGUGGCGGCACUUAACUGUGUGGCGCGGUAUCCAGAACCUUUACUUUGAGAAAAUUAGAGUGUUUCAAGCAGGCUAUUGCCAUGAAUACUGCAGCAUGGAAUAAUAAGAUAAGACUUCGGUUUCAUUUUGUUGGUUCUAGAACUGAAGUAAUGAUUAAUAGGGACAGUUGGGGGCAUUCGUAUUUGACUGUCAGAGGUGAAAUUCUUAAAUUUGUCAAAGACGGACUACUGCGAAAGCAUUUGCCAAGGAUGUUUUCAUUAAUCAAGAACGAAAGUUAGGGGAUCGAAGACGAUCAGAUACC